rnacentral:lncRNA from 1 species
UUUUUUUUAAUUUCCAAACCACCAUCGCGUAUCUUUAGAAGAGGUUUAUUAGCCCGGGAUCAAACUUCUGUAACUAUUUUGGGCCCUUUGUCUCCAUCGAGAGUCAACUUCCAUCAAGAAUUGAACAUCUUCUCUUUAAUCAUCGCGGAUCACUAAUUCGCGGCUAACCACAUUCGAAACCAAUUCUUUGCUAACCCAUCAAAAAUUCAACUUCACCAUCGAGAGCACCUUAAGGGGAACACCAACCCUUCAUCAAGAAUUCACCACCAUCGUGUGUCUUAUAAAGAGGUUGUCCAAGAUUUUUUUUAAUUUCCAAACCACCAUCGCGUAUCUUUAGAAGAGGUUUAUUAGCCCGGGAUCAAACUUCUGUAACUAUUUUGGGCCCUUUGUCUCCAUCGAGAGUCAACUUCCAUCAAGAAUUGAACAUCUUCUCUUUAAUCAUCGCGGAUCACCAAUUCCCGUCUAACCACUCUCGAAACCAAUUCUUGGCUAACCCAUCAAAAAUUCAACAUCACCAUCUAGAGCACCUUAAGGGGAACACCAACCUUUCAUCAAGAAUUCACCAUCAUCGCGUGUCUUUUGAAGUUGUCCAAGAUUUUGUUAAUUUCCAAACCACCAUCACGUAUCUUUGGAAGAGGUUUACUAGCCCG